AAUACUGCAGAAGCAUGCUAACUUCCAGAAUGAUUUGUGUGACCUGUGAGAUAUGAGUGCCCUGACACUGAUGACAAGAAAGCUCUGUUCAGCGCACAGAGAAAGAGGAAUCAGGAAGAGCAGCCACUUACAAACUAGAAGAAGAAACUUCCUAUCUCAGCCAUGGGAGAGAUGACCUGGUGUCAACUUAGAGACAACAAAAAAUGAUGAUCCAUGAGAUGCACUCCACUACCAUUGACUAAGCAUCUGAGACUCAGAUGAAGACCUCUCAACUGACGAUGCAGAGAGUACAGUCAUUGGCCAUCAGUUCUCCACCCUUGCUGCAGAAACGGAGCCUUCUUGGUUCGGCGCCUGAGACUGCCAGGUUCACCUCCUCCUCCAUGUCUCCGUUUGGUGCCUGGAACUGUUUAUGGCAAUCCAAGAUAAAAUGCAGAAUGUUUGAAGACUGCCUGGGACUGUUAGAGGGCUGACAUACCAAGAUAAGGUGUGAAAAGCAUGUAAUCAGCAUUUGCCCCCGAUCAGUCCAUCAGUUUCUCUGUACUUUGUUGUGCCCUGUCCAC